rnacentral:tRNA from 2 species
AGAGGCUUAGGCUAAUACAGACCUAGGGCCUUCAAAGCCCUCAGUGGGAGUGAAAAUCUCUCAGCCUCUG